GACGGAGGCUGCAAGUGUUAUCCGGAAUCACUGGGCGUAAAGCGUCUGUAGGUGGUUUAAUAAGUCAACUGUUAAAUCUUGAGGCUCAACCUCAAAAUCGCAGUCGAAACUAUUAGGCUAGAGUAUAGUAGGGGUAAAGGGAAUUUCCAGUGGAGCGGUGAAAUGCGUAGAGAUUGGAAAGAACACCGAUGGCGAAGGCACUUUACUGGGCUAUUACUAACACUCAGAGACGAAAGCUAGGGUAGCAAACCGG
rnacentral:rRNA from 1 species